rnacentral:rRNA from 1 species
AGAGCGAACGCUGGCGGCAGGCCUAACACAUGCAAGUCGAACGGACUCUUCGGAGUUAGUGGCGGACGGGUGAGUAACACGUGGGAACGUGCCUUUAGGUUCGGAAUAGCUCCUGGAAACGGGUGGUAAUGCCGAAUGUGCCCUUCGGGGGAAAGAUUUAUCGCCUUUAGAGCGGCCCGCGUCUGAUUAGCUAGUUGGUGAGGUAAAGGCUCACCAAGGCUACGAUCAGUAGCUGGUCUGAGAGGAUGACCAGCCACAUUGGGACUGAGACACGGCCCAAACUCCUACGGGAGGCAGCAGUGGGAAUCUUGCGCAAUGGGCGAAAGCCUGACGCAGCCAUGCCGCGUGAAUGAUGAAGGUCUUAGGAUUGUAAAAUUCUUUCAGUAGGGACGAUAAUGACGGUACCUACAGAAGAAGCCCGGCUAACUUCGCGCCAGCAGCCGC